UUUUGAAAGAUAGAGUGAGGGUUGGUGUUGAAUAAUUUUCCAUUUAUAUAGCCAAGGGAACAGGGACCGGACAAUCACUGACCGAUGUGCGUUUAUCAUCUUGAUGCUGCCAUACUCCAAAAGUAGAUAACUUAUGCCAGUCGUUCUACCUUCAGAAUUCGAACGCUGGACUGAUAAUAUAAUGAGAAAGCAUUGCCUAAGCAUCCCUUAAGUAUUGCACAACAUGGAAUAAAAAUAGUACCAAAUGGAGGUACUGAAUUGUGGCUCCUCGGGAUUACAGCUACAUCAACACCCACUACCACAUGAUAAUUGAAUACAUGUAGUGGCGCCAUUUGUGCCACUGCUACUUAACAUUGGUUGGAUAAUGCAUUUCCUUGUCUUUCUAAAUGACAAGGGGGAAAAAGAGGCAAGAAGUGCACUGAGACGGGAACAUUAGGCAGUACCAAGAUGGCCAUGCGCACUCAGUACGGCGUCUUCCGCAGCUCCCAGACCACCUGGGUGAUCUGAGAGUGUGUCCUCCUGCAGCAAACAGACAGACAACAAAACCAAGAUACUAAUCAGGAUUUUUCGAAGGGGAAUGAAAUCAAUCAGGAUUCAUCUCGUCGAUUCAAGACAAGCAACCAAGAAACCUGGCCGGCAAGAUUGUCCCAUCGGUUCAGUUCAGGGGACAACACAUCUUACGUGGCGCAGUAGAUGGUCGGCGCCUUCUUCUUCUUGGCCGCUGCCGCCGCCUUCUCCAGGAUGCCUGAACAUCAAAGAACCGCCGCCUCCUCCGUCAGGUCCCGCGAUGAGCGUCCAUCACCGGCCGGCUAUUGUCUGCUCCGGCCUGCGCCUCUUCCAUCGAAGGGGCGCGUCAGAGAAGCCGAGGCGACGCGGCGUCUGGUGGUGCUGAUGGAUGCGGUAUGCGCGGGCAUGGCUGCCGCUGACAUGGGAUGGGAGGGGAGGGGAGGGGAGGGGAGGUGUGGAUAGGGGAGGGGAGGUGGGGUGCUGGUGGAUCCGGCCGGGAUGCUGCUGCCGGACGGGGACGGGGAGAAGGAGGGGUGGCCGAAAGGGGAGGGGAGGUGGUGUGGUCUACCCAGUAUGGGAGGGGCCUCUCGAUCGGAUCUGGAAGGGUGGGUGGUUGCUUAGGGUUUCCAUUUCUCGGGAGAAUCUACGUCGUUGGAUGCACUUGUGAUGAAUGGGUCAGAUCGCGUGUGUUGGGGUGAUCCGCGUGAAGGCAAUUCCUCGCGUCUCAUUGACUGACU
rnacentral:lncRNA from 1 species